rnacentral:rRNA from 1 species
UUCGAUCUGGCUCAGGACAAACGCUGGCGGCGUGCCUAACACAUGCAAGUCGAACGAGCCCUUCGGGGCUAGUGGCAGACGGGUGAGUAACGCGUAGGUAAUGUACCUCUUCGCUGGGGAUACCGUUCCGAAAGGAACGUUAAUACCGAAUGAAUUCUUCGGGCGGCAUCGCUUGGAGAAUAAACCGCAAGGGCGAGGAGAUCAGCUUGCGUACUAUCAGCUAGUAGGUGGGGUAACGGCCUACCUAGGCUCCGACGGUUAGCCGGUCUGAGAGGAUGAUCGGCCACAUUGGAACUGAAACACGGUCCAGACUCCUACGGGAGGCAGCAGUGAGGAAUAUUGCGCAAUGGGCGAAAGCCUGAACCGCAGCGACGCCGCGUGAGGGAUGACGGCCUUCGGGUUGUAAACCUCUGUCAGUGGGGAAGAGAACGGACGGUACCCGCUGAGGAAGCAUCGGCUUACUACGUGCCAGCAGCGGC